GAGUUUGAUCUUGGCUCAGAUUGAACGCUGGCGGCAUGCCUUACACAUGCAAGUCGAACGGCAGCACGGGAGCUUGCUCCUGGUGGCGAGUGGCGAACGGGUGGGUAAUGCAUCGGAACGUAUCCUGGAGUGGGGGAUAACGUAGCGAAAGUUACGCUAAUACCGCAUAUUCUGUGAGCAGGAAAGCGGGGGACCUUCGGGCCUCGCGCUCUUGGAGCGGCCGAUGUCGGAUUAGCUAGUUGGUGAGGUAAAGGCUCACCAAGGCGACGAUCCGUAGCAGGUCUGAGAGGAUGAUCUACCACACUGGAACUGAGACACGGUCCAGACUCCUACGGGAGGCAGCAGUGGGGAAUUUUGGACAAUGGGGGCAACCCUGAUCCAGCCAUGCCGCGUGAGUGAAGAAGGCCU
rnacentral:rRNA from 1 species